rnacentral:rRNA from 1 species
CCUACGGGAGGCAGCAGUGGGGGAUAUUGCACAAUGGGGGGAACCCUGAUGCAGCGACGCCGCGUGGGUGAAGAAGCGCCUAGGCGCGUAAAGCCCUGUCAGCAGGGAAGAAAAUGACGGUACCUGAAGAAGAAGCCACGGCUAACUACGUGACAGCAGCCGCGGUAAUACGUAGGGGGCAAGCGUUAUCCGGAUUUACUGGGUGUAAAGGGGGCGCAGACGGGGAUGCAAGCCAGGAGUGAAAACCCGGGGGCCAAACCCGGGACGGCUCUUGGAACUGCGUGGCUUGAGUGCAGGAGGGGCAGGCGGAAUGCCUGGUGUAGCGGUGAAAUGCGUAGAUAUCAGGAGGAACCCCGGUGGCGAAGGCAGCCUGCUGGACUGCAACUGACGUUGAGGCCCGAAAGCGUGGGGAGCAAACAGGAUUAGAUACCCUGGUAGUC